GAAAGAGAAGAAACCUUUGGAAGCUUCAUCUGUGGUCUGAAAGCCAAAGCUCUGCCUUUGCUGCUCUCUGCCUCAUCAGCCGUGAAGGUUUUGCAGGGAGAGCUGAGCUGAUGCCAGUGCUGCUGCCUGAGAUGAGAGCACCCCUGAGGCUGCUCCUGGGCCAGGUCACUGUGGCCAGCCCAAAGUUCACUGCUGUGUACAAAGGUCCAGGUGCUCUUUGCUCUCUGCUCCAAGGAGAUCCUCUUCACAGCAGGAAGCCUGCCCAGAGUCAUCCUGUGGGACUUAGCUCUUCAGUGAAACCACAAAUCCAGAAGAGUGGGGGGAGUCCAGUUCAGGGAACAACAUCUGUUGGGACCACUGAACAAAGGACAGAGAUAUUUCAGAGGAAGACUCUUUCAUGGUGUUUCUGAUGGAAAAAUCAACACUUUGCCCCCGCUGUUUAAAAUGUGCCAUCACUGGCCAAGCAUUGUCUGUUCUGCCAAGGAGCUCCCAUGGGCUGCUUCCCCAGGUAAGUGGAAGCUGCUUGGAGCCUUCCAAAGGCACU